CGUAUUCGACCUGAGCUCAGGCAAGGCUACCC
rnacentral:rRNA from 1 species